rnacentral:rRNA from 1 species
UACGUAGGGGGCAAGCGUUGUCCGGAAUCAUUGGGCGUAAAGCGCGUGUAGGCGGUUCGGUAAGUCGGCUGUGAAAGUCCAGGGCUCAACCCUGGGAUGCCGGUCGAUACUGCCGGACUAGAGUCCGGAAGAGGCAAGUGGAAUUCCCGGUGUAGCGGUGAAAUGCGCAGAUAUCGGGAGGAACACCAAUGGCGAAGGCAGCUUGCUGGGACGGAACUGACGCUGAGGCGCGAAAGCGUGGGGAGCGAACAGG